GGGAGGACGAGGAGCCUGACGGAGGAGGACCUGGAGGAGCUCAAGGGCUGCCUCGACCUCGGAUUCGGGUUCAGCUACGAUGAGAUUCCUGAGCUCUGCAACACGCUUCCAGCUCUUGAGCUGUGUUACUCGAUGAGCCAGCGGUUUCUCGACGAGCAGCAUCAGCGAUCGCCUGACGGCGAGGCGCCGGAGCGCACCCCUAGUAGUGCACCAGCAUCGCCCAUUGCUAAUUGGAGGAUCUCCAGCCCUGGAGACGAUCCCGAUGAAGUAAAAGCAAGGCUGAAGUAUUGGGCUCAAGCUGUGGCUUGUACUGUGAGACUAUGCAGCUGACAUUGGUUGUAUCCUAUAUGCGGUAACAAGCAGCAUGAAAAUUGACUAAGAAGGCUUCCAUUAUGCGAAUCAAUUCCUCUUCCAUUGUUAAUCCACUCAACACCUGCAAGUCUUCGUAGAGAGGAAGGAGAUCAAUGGCAGGAUAAAAAGAAGAAAUGUCUAGAAGGAAGAGGAAGGAGGAGAAGCAAACUGUGAACAUCCUCUGUCUAAAAUCAAAUGAGUAACAUGUCUGACCUCUGC
rnacentral:misc_RNA from 1 species